UAAAGGAGUGAUCCGGUGACGGAUGGGCAUGCGUGACAUUAGCUAGUCGGCGGGGUAACGGCCCACCGAGGCGACGAUGUCUAGGGGUUCUGAGAGGAAGGUCCCCCACACUGGUACUGAGACACGGACCAGACUCCUACGGGAGGCAGCAGUGAGGAAUAUUGGUCAAUGGGCUUACGCCUGAACCAGCCAAGUCGCGUGAGGGAAGACUGCCCUAUGGGUUGUAAACCUCUUUUGUCAGGGAGCAACGCCGGCUACGUGUAGCCGGACUGAGAGUACCUGAAGAAAAAGCAUCGGCUAACUCCGUGCCAGCAGCCGCGGUAAUACGGAGGAUGCGAGCGUUAUCCGGAUUUAUUGGGUUUAAAGGGUGCGUAGGCGGAAUGCCAAGUCAGCGGUAAAAUCGCGGGGCUCAACCUCGCUCCGCCGUUGAAACUGGCGUUCUUGAGUGGGCGAGAAGUAUGCGGAAUGCGUGGUGUAGCGGUGAAAUGCAUAGAUAUCACGCAGAACUCCGAUUGCGAAGGCAGCAUACCGGCGCCCAACUGACGCUGAAGCACGAAAGCGUGGGUAUCGAACAGGAUUAGAUACCCUGGUAGUCCACGCAGUAAACGAUGAAUACUAGCUGUUCGGGGCAAUUGGGCCUUGAGUGGC
rnacentral:rRNA from 1 species